rnacentral:rRNA from 1 species
AUGACACUUCUCACAAGUGAUAUGGUACCAAAACAAUUGAAAUUCUACAGUACUGCUCCGAGUCCAGAUCAAAAACAACUGCGACAUACCAGAUUUCUAUGGAAAUCACACGAUUACCCCCCAUCCUGCAGUGCAAUUCGGGUCAAAUCAAUCACGAAAAGCACUAGUGGAACACAUCUCAUGGAUCACCAGACACGCGGGGCACCAGAUCGAGGCCGGGGAAAAGAGAGGGGGCGCGCACCUGUACUGCUCGAGGAAGCGGUCGUCGUCGAGGUCGUCCUCGAGCUCCUCGAGCUCGUCGGGGUCGCGCGCGUCGAGCCACUCCUUGGACCUGGGCUGCUCGUCGGCGUCGGCCCUGGGGGCGAAGGGCGGCGGCUUGAAGGGCGGCGGCUUCUCGGGCAGGUUGCCGAGCUUGCGCUGGAUGUCGUCCCACUGCGUGGUCGCCCCCUCCACGUCCUUGUACACGAAGUGGUAGUCCGCCAUGGCCGAGCCUCGAAGGAGCGAGCGAGCGCGAGAGAGGGAGAGAUCGGGACAGGAGGAGAAGCGGAAGGGGAACGAGGAGAAUGGGAGGGCUCGGCUGACAGGUGGGGCCCCACGCACUCGUGGGAUCGGACGGAUCCGCGUGUCCCUGGCAGGCUGGGCCCGCUGGUCAUUCGGAUAGAGGCUUUUCGCUGGACGGGACAUAUCGAGUGUCACUGCGCCGCGGCCGCGCUACCUGAUCGCGAAACCAGAACCGAGGGGGAGCUGAGCGGGAGAAGCGGUGAGAUCGUCUUCGUGGCGGCGGAGAUGACGGUCGGCCAUCUCGCCAACGACGCCAUCCUCGGAGGCCACGAAGGCACGACUACGAGACCGACGCUGCUGCUACCCAGUUCGACUACGGAGUUGACGACCCCUCCUCCUUGCCAGAGCAACCAGGCAAGCCCCCCCCUUGAUCACCAGAUAUCGCCUAUUCUUCUCUAUACUGCUUGCAUUAGAGUAGUGUAG